AUUCUCAUCCAAACAGUGCGGACAACCUUUAGUUCUAUGUGAAACUCAGGGUGGGAAACUGAGCACAGCUGUGCUGAGCAACCCGUCUGCCGGUGCCUGGACACGACACGGCUGCACCUUUGCUGGGCACAAGAAAGGACCAAAACAGCCGAACAAAGGAAAUUUGUACAUCUAAACAGUGACUGCUGAAGACAGAAAGAACCAUAACCACAGAAAAUGGUGAGCUUGGGGAUAGCAGUACAGCUGGAUCGGUUUUCAUCAUGCAGAGCGCUGCCAGCAGGUUACAGUGAGCUGAGCCUGGGAGGGCUGGGUGCCCGCAGGGGCACUUCGAGAAUGAAAAGCGCGUGGAUAAUCCAGGCGGUGAUUGCUUCCUUCCUCCGGCUUUCGGUGGAAUGUCGAGCUGUGUCCCAGCGAGAGUCACUCGAGCACAAGAUGAGCCAGAUGGCAGAAGCAGCAGAAACCAAAGGAGGAGCAUGAAGUGUUUAAGAAUCAGAUUGCUAAAAUGCAGGGAAAACUGAAGCCAAAAACUAGGCCUGGACAAAACAGAGCACCAGAGUGGAAAAACAAGAACAGGAGAAAUGUAGCCAAAAGGCAAAAGAAUAAAAUACAACAGCUC
ensembl:lncRNA